rnacentral:rRNA from 1 species
UAUCAGUCAUGCAUAGCAUAUCAAUAAGCGGAGGAAAAGAAACUAACAAGGAUUCCCCUAGUAACGGCGAGUGAAGCGGGAAGAGCUCAAAUUUGAAAUCUUAAAGGGUUUCCCUUUACGAAUUGUAGUUUAAAGAAGUGCUUUUCUGUUAGAGUUUCGGUAAAAGUUCUUUGGAAUAGGACAUCAUAGAGGGUGAGAAUCCCGUAUUUGACCGUUAUUUCUAGCUUUGUGAUACACUUUCAAAGAGUCGGAUUGUUUGGGAAUGCAGUCCAAAAUGGGUGGUAAAUUUCAUCUAAAGCUAAAUAUUGGCGAGAGACCGAUAGCGAACAAGUACCGUGAGGGAAAGAUGAAAAGAACCUUGAAAAGAGAGUUAAACAGUACGUGAAAUUGUCAAAAGGGAAGCGUCUGACACCAGUGUUGUUUAAUUGAAAAUCAAUUAACUAAUUUCUGAUUUUAAAUAGUAUUGACUUUAUCAGCUUGCUAUUUUCUUUUCGGAAAUUAUUUAAUGCACUUUUCAGUUAACAAGUCAACAUCAAUUUCUUUUGUUGUAAAAAGGUAAGAGGAAGGUGGCUUAUGCUUCGGUAUAAGUGUUUAUAGCCUUUUACCUCUGCAAUCGGAGAGAUUGAGGUCUGCAGCGUAGAUCCUUCGGGUUAGAUACAUUUGUGCUAAGUUAUAGUAUUUUAUAGACAACUUGUUGACUAUGAUUUAUCAUGUAGCUUACUCGCUUAUGCUAUUUUACCUACGCUUAGGAUGUUGAGUAGCGACAUACGCAC